rnacentral:tRNA from 1 species
GCCCCCGUAGCUCAGGGGAUAGAGCGCAGCGCUGCGGACGCUGAGGUCGCAGGUUCAAGUCCUGUCGGGGGUGCCA